CCAAUAGCGUAUAUUAAAGUUGUUGCAGUUAAAAAGCUCGUAGUUGAAUUUUAGGCCUGGCCGGAUGGUCCGUCUUUGGCGAGUACUGUUCUGUCGUCGGGUCUAUCCUUCUGGUGAGCCGGUAUGCCCUUUAUUGGGUGUGUCGGGGAACCAGGACCAUUACCUUGAAAAAAUUAGAGUGUUUAAAGCGGGCAUUUGCUUGAAUAGAUUAGCAUGGAAUAAUAGAAUAGGACGUUGGUUCUAUUUUGUUGGUUUUAGGACCACCGUAAUGAUUAAUAGGGAUAGUGGGGGGCAUUAGUAUUCAAUGGUCAGAGGUGAAAUUCUUGGAUUUAUUGAAGACUAACUAUUGCGAAAGCAUUUGCCAAGGAUGUUUUCAUUAAUCAAGAACGAAAGUUAGGGGAUCGAAGUCGAUCAGAUACCGUCGUAGUCUUAACCAUAAACUAUGCCGACUAGGAAUCGGGCGACGUUAUUUCAUGACUCGCUCGGCGCCUUAUG
rnacentral:rRNA from 1 species